UGUGUGCGUAUAUAUAUGUAUUGCGAGCAGAGAGAGGUAGAAGAAAAAGAUAUCAGCAAUUGAGAACGUGCUACCUCGUACCACGUCGUAGCGAGGAGAAAGAAUUGUGUUUGUUGUAUAUGUUUAUGCGAGUAUAUGAACAAAUACGUGAAAUAUUGAUAUGUACAAGUGAACAAGAAUGUGUUAGAGUGAAUUCUAUACAAAGCUGAAAAAUCGCAUUGCAUGUCGAGAAUCGAUUUCGAGAGACGUAUCGAAGCGUAGAAUAACUUUAUUCGUGAUUACGUAUUUUAUUUCAUAGAUUUUAAUUGAUGUUAAUAUUUCAUAAUUAUUAUAAUAAAAUAUAAAUAAUCCUUUAAUUUUCAUUUUUAAUAUUCGAAUAACUAGAAAACUCAACUCUUUUUCGUCGGCUUUUUAUAACCUGCAUCAGGAAUUCAAUCUCUCGAAACGACAGGCGUGGAAUGUUAAUUAAAAAUCGCUUAGGAAGCGAAUCGAAUUGAGAGAUGGGGAAAAAAGCGAGGCGGAGUUUUCAUGAGUAUUAGUCGUGCAACAUGGAUCGAGAGAAUUGCGUGAAUCUGGCAGGAAGAGAGCAUCGAUAGUCUCGAAAAAUUAGAGAUAUUCUUCUCACAAAAGGAACGAAAGAUCGCAUGGAACGCAUUCCUUGGAAAGAGCACAACGGAAAUG
rnacentral:lncRNA from 1 species